GGCCAUGUGAAUGUGGUCCCAUAGAAACUGCAGGAUGGGCAUAAACACCUCCAUGAGAAUAGAUUGCAGCAUAAGGAGUACCAUAUGGAGGAAUCAUCUGUGGUGGAGCCCACAUAUAAGGGUGAGGAGCAUGACCUGAAGCUACAGCAGAGUUGUAGUAUGGUGGAACUGCAACUCUAGGACCAUAAUAUGCCUGCAUGGC
rnacentral:misc_RNA from 1 species